UACGAAGGGUGCGAGCGUUAAUCGGAAUUACUGGGCGUAAAGCGCGCGUAGGUGGUUUUGUAAGCGAAAUGUGAAAUCCCCGGGCUCAACCUGGGAACUGCAUGUCGAACUGCAAGGCUAGAGUAUAGUAGAGGAGUGUGGAAUUUCCUGUGUAGCGGUGAAAUGCGUAGAUAUAGGAAGGAACAUCAGUGGCGAAGGCGGCACUCUGGACUGAUACUGACACUGAGGCGCGAAAGCGUGGGUAGCGAACAGG
rnacentral:rRNA from 1 species